rnacentral:rRNA from 1 species
UGGUUUGAAUCCGGAGAGGGAGCUUUGAAAACAGCUGCCGCAUCUAUAGCUGGCAGCAGGCA